GCCUGGGUGGCUUAUUUGUUAAGCAUCUGACUUUGGCUCAGGUCAUGAUCUCACGGGUCAUGAGUUCGAGUCCCACUUCAGGUG
rnacentral:tRNA from 1 species